rnacentral:lncRNA from 1 species
GGUAGAAAGGAGGGUGGCCAGGUGACAGGUGGGGCUUUAAAUCAUGGCAGCAUGACCACUGGGGCUUCAGGUACAGUGCAUUGUCCUCCUUCUGCACAACCACCGGCUUUCAUGUCAUCCCAGGAGAAAUGCACUUUCUUGACAGUGGGAGACUAAGGGGACAGUAACUUAGGAGUAGUUGAGGCAGGCAGACAGACAGCAGAGCCAGGGAUAUCCUCAAGCACUGGAGAUCUGUCCCAGGGGGAGGGCCAGGGCCAGGGCCAGUGGAUGCCAGGUAGUUGCAGGAAGAGCUGGGGGUGUAGAUGUUCGAAGCAAGGUGGAAUCCUAGUCCCUGAGGCCCAAGUGUCCUGGGAGGCUGGCACAAACCAGGAUGUAGCCAAAAGGAAAAAGGCAGAAGCUGGGGUACCUAAUCGGCUACAAGGUCUAAGCAGGACUUGGAGGUGAGCAUGAUGUGAUGCUGAGGGCUGGACUGUUAAGCUCCUCAGCUUUCUCUGAGUCAGGGAUGGUGCAGAGACUGAGAUGCAUUGAUGCUUCCAUGCAUGUCCAAUGUCUGGAGUCCGACAGAGCAGCCAGUGUGAAGCACAGAGAGCAACAGGUUGUGUUGACAAGCAGAGAUGUUCCAUGGAAGCACCUCGUCCUCCACCAAUGACGCCACCUGCUAUUUCCCUUUCUAGUUUGACAAGCACCUGUGCUCCGGUAGUUCUUGAAAUAAUUGUUUGUGAAUCAGUUUUAUUGCAUGUCUUUCAAAGCAGACUAAAUCAGUAUUCUUCUGAUUUGAAAAUACAGGGUUUAAAAAUAAUCUUUGAAAAAGCUUUUAAUUAAGCAUGCAGUAGAGAACGAACAAGUGAAAAUCUAGUGUUUCAACCAAAUCUUACAGAUAUUUGUUGUUAAAAUGAGACAUCUCAAAGUGGCUCAUUUCGCAGACCUUUAAUUCUUUUAGUACCUUUAAUCAUUCCUUUUAAAACACUGGAAAAAGAAGAAACAUGGUCUGGAAAAUUGGAAAAUAAUGACGACUUUGUGAAAAUAGCUGCUGUUGAAAUUCAGGUACGCGUGCACUUAGAUAAUUCCAACGUGGUUCCAGAUGGCAUUAAAGGCAGUGCUGCCGCUGAAUUAACGAAGAAACAUAUUCCACUCGGCAAGGUAUUUUUAGAGUUCAAAAAUAGAGACCUGGGAAGGUAUCCGAAGAUCGGAAAAUACGAAGUAAGGUACAUCUUCUAAAAAGAGAAAGAAUAACGUGGUAAUUAUCCUAAAUGUAUAAUUCUUAUUAAUUUUAGAGGAAAUAGUAAGAUAAAAUAGCUCAGGAACGCAGAGUCUUCGGGCGCAUUUAAAACUAAGCGUCAUGGGCUUUGAAAGGUUGAGGAUGGUUCUUCCAGAGGGCGUUUCGUUUCCCUUUCUUCGUGGGUUGUGCUCUUUCCCACCCUGGAUUCCCUUUCCCGUCUCACCUCUUGCUUCGCAGUUUCUGUUCCCUUGACUUCUGCUUCCCUGGGCUUCUUGCUCUCCUGCGGGCCUCUCUCUGGCUCCCCGCGCGAAGUCCUUCUCCCCGGGGCCGUGGGGGGUGGUCAGGGCGAGACCCUGCGGGGCAGCCUGCGUGGGAUGUGAGCGGGGCCCUCACUUUCCUGCCUUCCAGCACCUUCCCUCCCUACCCAGCCUUACAUUCUACUUACUCUGGCUCCUCGGUACCUGCUGAGUAUCAGCUGCAGUUUUCCUAACUCUGGGAAUAUAAUUAACCAAAGGCAUAUCGACUAUCUGCUCCAGUGAAGACACUGGGAUGCCAUGGGAUGACCCGAAAGGCUACCUGCCCGGCUUCCUUCCGCCUUGCAGGAGCUCGCAGUCUCUGCCCUCCACACUCCACCCACUCCUGAGCCCAAACUGAGAUCCCUUUUCUCAUUUUCCCCAUCACUCCACCUCCAGGAAGCCGCCCAGCUCCUCAUUACAGGAUCUUCUCUUUACCUGGAGCCUGCAGCACAGCAUUUCCGGAGCAAAGCCUGAAAAAUGCUAUUUCUUGGGAAAUUUGAUUGUUUUUUUUUUUUAAUUAAAACGGCGUUAUGUGGUCAGACACGUAUGGGAGUUGCUAAUUUAAAUGAAGUUAAUUUGGUUUCUUUACCACAGGAUUUCCCGCAGCUUUUAAUAUCUUGAUCUGCAUUUGGAAUCCUUGUGCUCGGGUUCCGGGGUGCAGACCUGGCAUUGAUAUUUCAGGGUAGAUCUCAUUUCACAGAAUAGCAAAUGGGACUGAGGUUCCACGGAGCACAAUUUGGAAAACUCACCUGAGGUACGUAUUGUAUCAGCUAUUUAUGUUAUGUUUAUAAGUCCAUUUCUUCAAUUAAAUUGGCAGUUUCAAAUUUUCGAACCCUAUGCUUUAUCCUUCUUUAUUCGCCACACACCUGUGUGACACACUGUGGUUUGCUUUACACAAGACAUGAUUUCAAGCAAAACCCAAGCUACUGCUUAUCAAGAACUUCUGUGCAAGGCGCAGUGUCUCGUGGGGACUACAGUGUGGCAACACUGCACGGUCUUCCUUCAAUAAUUAAUGUUUUGCUUGUGUGACGUUUUAGAAUUUACCUUGUGCUUUUAGAUAAGGCAUUUUAUUUGAGCUUUUCGACAGUCUUGUGAUGUUUGAUAAGUGUUACUCGUCCCACUUAGUGAGAGAGUAAACUGGGUUCCAAGAAAGUUCGAUAACUUGAGAGAUUCUUUGUGAAGGACCAGAGGCAGCCGCGGUGCCAGCACCUCUGCUUUUUGUGCAGGAGGCUGUCCACAGCACAAGAAGAUUCCUGAAGCAGUGUCCACUCUGAAGGCAUCAGAGAGUUGCCCAAACACACUUAACACAAAUCACUACCAUGCUGGUGUUCGCUGGAGUGUAUAUUGUAGAGGAGAGUACGCUUUCCCAAAACUUCGCACAACUUUGCCUGUCUUUGCACAACUAACAAGUUUGACGUGGAGUGAUGGGCAAUUAUCCAAACAGACCUAUGCCCACUCUAGGUGGUGUGAUUUGGGACAAAUUGCCAUGUUUACUGGGACCUUCAUACAUAAGGUAGAAACCCAGCAACUUGUCUGCAAGCCAAGGAGGUAAUUUUGUCUCUGUUGCCAUGAAAACGUGACCACGUUUUGCCAGCAUCACCGCUUUCACUGUUUAAAGGCACCUGAAUAAGGAAGGCCCCUUAAAUCUAAAGAAGAAUGGAGCUGUCCAUCCUGGAAAGGAAUCUGGAGUGGGUGGUGAAAUUAUACACAGGUAUUGGAGGGGAGCAAACUGAACAACAUGGAUUGGGAGUGGAACUCAUAAUGAUAAUAAAAAUACAAUAAAAAUGAAAUCCGGACAUAUUGGAGGAGGUAGCAAAGUUGAUAUAGAAAAUAUUAUAAUUAAGUAGUGGCAGUACACAAUAUUUAUGAAAAAGAAAAGAUUAUAUUUACAAAUGGCUUAAGGCUGUGAAAAGCAAGCAACAGACUAUGAAAAUUUUGUAUUUAUUGUGGUAAUUGCAGUGUAUUUUUGAAUUAUAGAGUUUUAUAAACUUUAAUAACUUGCCUUCAUCUACUUUUAUAUUUUAAUUUAAAUAUUUUAGAAAUAUUGCUUAUAAAAUUGUAUUUUUAAAUUUUAGGGGGAGGUAUGAAAUUGUCUAAUAUUUUCUAAAAUUACCAGCUUUCUCAAUUAGCAGUGCAGAAAUAAUGCACUUUUCCUGGGUAAGAGAAAUAGUCAUGCCUAAAAAUUCUAGCAAGGAUGAAGAUUUCCAAGAGCUAGAUGGAGGAAGGUGCUUACGAAAUAAACUUUUAGGUUCUCUCAAUAUCUUUGAGUAUGUUGCCAUCCUUGUUUAAGGAUCGUAUUGAAAGGUGUUCCCCUCAGUUUCUGACGGGCCUUUCAACUGGGGUUUAUAACCCAUUUUCAUAGUAAUUGUUCCUUUGUGGGCACCCUGCUCAUGAUGUGUUUGGAGGAGACCUUGGAACUGGCUUUUAAGACAGCAUAUGGAUGAUAUUCUUCUAAACCGCAUAUACCAGGCUGUACAGCAGAUGGUGACAGCCAGGCCCAGUGUGGCUACUGUUGAUGACAUGGGGCAGGGGUAGCAAACUCCAGCCUGCAGCCCACAUAGGGGCUGCUGCUGAUUUGGGUAAAUGAGGCUGUUUAGGAAUGCAGCCAUGCCCAGCCGUCUAUGUAUCGUCUGUGGUGGCUUUUGCACGGGGUAGGCAGAAGAGAGUGGUUGUGAUGGAUACCUCGGGGCCACGGAGCCUUGACUCUCGGGUCCUUUGCGCAAAGUUUGCCUGCUCUGACAUAGAGGAUGUGGGGUGGACAGCCAGUGGUUUCCCCCAUCCAGUACCCAGUUACCCGUUUUCUGGUAACAGCUCCCGAUUCCCCUUCAGGGAACGGACCUCCUAUGUUCUCGAUCCGAGUUCUUUGAGGUCCUGUCCUGCUUCAGCUUCAAGGGCCCAGCCUCUGCUGACCAAAGGCAGUCGCUGGCCGUGACACCUUCAGGGAUGGGUGCUUUCUUUUCUUCUGGCCAACUCAGGACCUUUGAGAAAGUUGUAUUCUGCUAGGCGAGAGGGCUUAUUUCUUCCUGGUUUGCUAAAUUUAUAGGAGAUCAAUCAACUGCCAAGUUGUGAGAGAGCCCGCCUAAGAAGGAAGGUCACCAAAGCAAAGCUGGUCAAAUACUAAAGAGAAAAAGAUGGAGACAGAAAUAGAAUGAAAAUGAACUCCACCAGUAUAUGUACAUCAAUACCCAUCUCUCUGUCUGUCUGUCUGUCUAUCUAUCUAUCUGUCAACCACAUUUGGGUAACAUGGCUUGCUGCCUGAAAUCUAGCUCUACCGGACCCCCCUGCAAAGUCAGACCCUGCUUUAGGGUGGGUUCUGAUAUUUCCAAAAGGAAGAAUGCCAGUGGCUGCAACGCGUUCUCACAAUGAAGUGGGGAGCAGGGAGUGGAGAGCGUGCUGAAGAAAGAAUCUUCCAAAAUCUGUAGAAAAGAGUCAAAAAGUCACUCUCUGGCAGAAGGAAAAAAGAUGUCAGGCAGAGAGAAAAUCACUUGUCGCCAUACGCCUGUUUGCUUUGCGGGACGCAGAACAAAUGGUGUGGGAAUAGCUGGUUCACAGGAACCAGCGCUUUGGCUCAUCUCCGAGAACAUGACAGGCGCCUUGAGGUUGCCAGUUGAAUUCAAAGGGCUUGAAGGAAGAUGUUAAAACCAAGCCCUCCUCAGAGGCAUUCUGCAAAGUGACAAGGGGGCCACAGAUUUAGGGUUCCAUUUAUAUGAUGUGUCCUGAAAAGGCACGUGUAUAGAGACAGCAGGUAGACUGACGGUUGCCUGCUCCUGGAGGUGGGGAAAGAGUAGCUGUAAAUGGACUCAAGAGACCUUCCUGGAGGGAUGGAAUGUUCUCAGACUGAUUUGUGGUGACACUUGUUUCACUCGGUAAUGUUAAUAAAAACCACUGAAUUAUACAUUUGAAAUGGAUGGAUUUUUAACAUGUAAAAUAUACUUCAAUAAGAUUGUUUAAAAAAGAGGUACAGGGAGGUCCCAUCACGGCUCAGUGGUAACAAACCCAACUAGCAUCCAUGAGGUCGAGGGUUCCGUCUGUGGCCUUGCUCAGUGGGUUAAGCAUCUGGCAUUGCUGUAAACUGUGGUGUAGGUCACAGAGGUGGCUCAGAUCCUUCAUUGCUGUGACUGUGGCUGUGGCUGUGGCCGGCAGCUGUAGCUCCAAUUUGACCCCUCGCCUGUGAACUUCUAUCCAUGUGCCAGAUGACACAAAAAGACAAAAAAGAAAAAGAAAAAAAAAAGAAAAGAAAAAGAGGUACAAAAGGUAAAAAUAGGAUGAAAGUGAAAUAAAUAGCAAUGCUUAAAACAGAGUUUUAUUUAAAAAUAUUGUUCCUACUGAGUUGGUUUACGGUGUUGGUGAUAAUGUCACUUAGACCUAAAUGCAAUGUACGUACCUUGGUCAGAUUCUGGUGAAGAAAGAAAAUCAUUUAUACAAGACAUUCUUGGGACAAUUGGAGACAUUCAAAUAUGGAUUCCACAGAAAAGCAUAAUAGAAGUAUUUUUAAUUUUCUGAGAUGCGAUAAUUAUACCCUAAUUUUACGGGCGAAUAUUCUUAUUCUUAAGAGAGCAUACUGACAUAUUCAGGGUAGCAGGAUAAUAAUAAUUUUAAAAGCCUGGCAUUUACAAUAUUUCAUUGUAGCUAAUACUCCAGUUGUUGUAAGAAGCAUCAUUAUUAUUUAUAUGAGGGAGAGGGGAAAAUGUUGCCAGUAAAAAUGAUACAACACUCCCACAUUAAAACAAAACCUAUCAAUCAACCAAAGACAAAAAAAAAAAAAAAAAA